rnacentral:rRNA from 1 species
AAAACUUUUCGCUAAUAGAAGAGCCUAUGUAGGAUUAGGUAGUUGGUAUUUUGGGUAAAAGCCUACCAAGCCUAAGAUCCUUAGCUGUUCUGAGAGGUUGAACAGCCACACUGGGACUGAGACAAGGCCCAGGCUCCAUUUGGAGCCAGCAGUGAGGAAUUUUGGACAAUGAGCGAAAGCUUGAUCCAGCAAUACUACAUGAGUGAAGAAGGCUUUCAAGUUGUAACACUCUUUGGUUGAGGAGGAUAAUGACAGUACUCAACAAAAUAGCCCCGGCUAACUUCGUGCCAGCAGCCGCGGUAAGACGAAGGGGGCGAGCGUUAUCCGGAAUGACUGGGCGUAAAGGGUCCGUAGGCAGCAUUUUUUGUUGGAAGUUAAAUAAAAAAGCUUAACUUUUUUCCGCUUCUAAAACGUAAAUGCUUUGAGUUUGAUAGAAGAUAGCAGAAUUUCACAAGGAGGGGUGAUAUCCAGAGAUCUGUGAAGGAAUAUCAGAUGCGAAGGCGGCUAUCUAGAUCAACACUGACGUUGAGGGACGAAAGCAUGGGGAGCAAACAGGAUUAGAUACCCUGGUAGUCCAUGCCCUAAAAGAUGAGUGUUCGUGCUUAGAGAACUUUAGGCACUUAGUUAACACGUUAAACACUCCGCCUGGGGAGUACGAUCGCAAGGUUGGAACUCAAAGGAAUUGACGGCGGCCUAUACAAGUGGUGGAGCAUGUGGUUUAAUGCGAUAAUACGCGC